UCUCUUCCUUACCUCAUGGGUUUUCUUUUGAGUAUAAUAUUGCAUAGAUUUAUUGGAGGAUUUUUGAGAUUGAAAUCCGGCCACUAUUCACAAAUUGGGGUUUACUGUUUUCUUAAUUGUUGAGGUAGUUCUUGUUGUUUUCUGGCUUGGUGGUAGUUGAAAGAAGUGUUAAGGAUGUUGAGAUGAAGCCGCUGUCAAAAUUUGGUGACCAUCGGAGGAGUUGGCCGACGAGUGAACAGUGCCGCCGAGUGAACAGUGCGGGUGACGUAUCAAAUUACUACUGGGUGAAGGAGCUCUUAUGCGUGGUUGCCUAAAUAGUACUUUUGCAGGCUAGAUUAGUUGAGGUCGGGCGUACAUGGAGUCGAGGCAUAGCCAACAGCAUUGCUUCCGCGUACUCAUUCUAUUUCUGUUUUAUGUGAUACCUAAUAGAUUAAUAUUGCUCUGAUAAGCUGUGGGAUUAAUAUUGUUUUUGGGUUGAGACUGUUAUUUGAGAAAUUGAAGUUGUGAUUUGGGGAGCAGGUGGCUCCAGGAGUAUAAGGUUGGUUUGUUUGAA